GGAAGCGUGGCCGAGCGGUUUAAGGCACCGGUCUUGAAAACCGGCGACGGGCAACUGUCCGUGAGUUCGAAUCUCACCGCUUCCGCCA
rnacentral:tRNA from 4 species